rnacentral:rRNA from 2 species
UACAGAGGUCUCAAGCGUUGUUCGGAUUUAUUGGGCGUAAAGGGUGCGUAGGCGGCAGGGUAAGUUAGGCGUGAAAUGCUGAAGCUCAACUUCGGCACUGCGCUUGAUACUGCCUUGCUCGAGUGCUAGAGAAGAAGCUGGAAUUUACGGUGUAGCAGUGAAAUGCGUAGAUAUCGUAAGGAACGCCAGUGGCGAAAGCGAGCUUCUAGAUAGUUACUGACGCUGAGGCACGAAAGCUGGGGGAGCAAACGGG